rnacentral:rRNA from 1 species
AAUGGCUCAUUAAAUCAGUUAUCGUUUAUUUGAUAGUACCUUACUACAUGGAUACCUGUGGUAAUUCUAGAGCUAAUACAUGCUAAAAACCCCGACUUCGGAAGGGGUGUAUUUAUUAGAUAAAAAACCAAUGCCCUUCGGGCUCCUUGGUGAUUCAUAAUAACUUAACGAAUCGCAUGGCCUUGCGCCGGCGAUGGUUCAUUCAAAUUUCUGCCCUAUCAACUUUCGAUGGUAGGAUAGUGGCCUACCAUGGUGGCAACGGGUAACGGGGAAUUAGGGUUCGAUUCCGGAGAGGGAGCCUGAGAAACGGCUACCACAUCCCAGGAAGGCAGCAGGCGCGCAAAUUACCCAAUCCCGACACGGGGAGGGAGUGACAAUAAAUACUGAUACGGGGCUCUUUUGGGGCUCGUAAUUGGGGAUGAG